CCUACGGGAGGCAGCAGUGGGGAAUAUUGGACAAUGGGCGAAAGCCUGAUCCAGCAAUACCGCGUGUGUGAAGAAGGCCUGAGGGUUGUAAAGCACUUUCAAUUGGGAGGAAUACCUAUCGGUCAAUACCCGGUGGCGUGACAUUACCUUUAGAAGAAGCACCGGCUAACUCCGUGCCAGCAGCCGCGGUAAUACGGAGGGUGCGAGCGUUAAUCGGAAUUACUGGGCGUAAAGCGUGCGUAGGCGGUUAUUUAAGUCAGAUGUGAAAUCCCCGGGCUCAACCUGGGAACUGCAUCUGAUACUGGGUAACUAGAGUGUGGGAGAGGAGAGUGGAAUUUCAGGUGUAGCGGUGAAAUGCGUAGAGAUCUGAAGGAACACCAGUGGCGAAGGCGACUCCCUGGCUUAAAACUGACGCUGAGGUACGAAAGCGUGGGUAGCAAACAGGAUUAGAUACCCCGGUAGU
rnacentral:rRNA from 1 species